rnacentral:rRNA from 1 species
AACGAACGCUGGCGGCAGGCCUAACACAUGCAAGUCGAGCGAGGACUUCGGUCCUAGCGGCGGACGGGUGAGUAACGCGUGGGAACGUGCCCUUUGCUUCGGAAUAGCCCUGGGAAACUGGGAGUAAUACCGGAUGAGCCCUUUGGGGGAAAGAUUUAUCGGCGAAGGAUCGGCCCGCGUUGGAUUAGGUAGUUGGUGGGGUAAUGGCCUACCAAGCCGACGAUCCAUAGCUGGUUUGAGAGGAUGAUCAGCCACACUGGGACUGAGACACGGCCCAGACUCCUACGGGAGGCAGCAGCGGGGAAUCUUAGACAAUGGGGGAAACCCUGAUCUAGCCAUGCCGCGUGAGCGAUGAAGGCCUUAGGGUUGUAAAGCUCUUUCAGCUGGGAAGAUAAUGACGGUACCAGCAGAAGAAGCCCCGGCUAACUCCGUG